CCGGCGGAGAGGGAGACGCGGGGUGGCCGGCCAUGGCCGCGCUCGCUGGCUGGGGACGGCGGCACCCGCUAGGAGGCCGCGCGGGGAGGGGAGGGGAGGGGGAGGGAGGGGCUAGGCCGCCGCCUUUGUCACCUCUGCCGUCCUAGCAGGAUUCUUGGAUCAGGAAAUAGCUCACCUGGUAGUGUGUAAACCGUACUGUGAACAAGACCCUGGGUUCAAACCCUGGAACCUCAUGGAAGCAUCAUGGGCAUCUCUGAAGAACUCUAUGGAUGGUGCAGCAGUGGGAUGCCAUCAGGUUCCAGAUGCUACCAUGAUGCCAACCUGACUUCUCUGGGCAGACGACCCCACCAAUGUGUCCUGCGACCCUGCUUCCCCAGAACUCUGCCCCACUAGGGAAAGAGAGAGACAGGCUGGGAGUAUGGAUCCAACUGUCAACGCACAUGUUCAGCAGAGAAGCAAUUACAGAAGCCAGACCUCCCGCCUUCUGCACCCCAUAAUGAUCCUGAGUCCAUGCUUCCUGAGGGAUAAAGGAUAGGGAAGCUAUCAGGGGAGGGGAUGGGAUACGGAAUUCUGGGGGUGGGAAUUGUGUGGAGUUGUUCCCUUCUUUUCCUAUAGUCUUGUCAGUAUUUUCAUUUUCAUAAAUUAAAAAAAACUAAAAAAUAAAAAUAAUGUAAAAGCAG